rnacentral:rRNA from 1 species
AACGUAGGAGGCAAGCGUUAUCCGGAGUUACUGGGCGUAAAGCGCGUGUAGGUGGAUCGGUAAGUUACUUAUAAAAGCUCCUGGCUAAACUAGGAGAGGUUGAGUGAUACUGCCAGUCUUGAAUAGAGGAGAGGUUGACGGAAUUCCGCGUGUAGCAGUGAAAUGCGUAGAUAUGCGGAGGAACACCGAUGGCGAAGGCAAUCCCCUGGACCUGUACUGACGCUCAUGCACGAAAGCGUGGGGAGCAAACAGG